rnacentral:rRNA from 1 species
AUUGAACGCUGGCGGCAGGCCUAACACAUGCAAGUCGAACGAGUGGCGGACGGGUGAGUAAUGUCUGGGAAACUGCGCGAUGGAGGGGGAUAACUAAUGGAAACGGUAGCUAAUACCGCAUAACAGCGGAUGUGCCCAGAUGGGAUUAGCUAGUAGUGGGGGUAACGGCUAACCUAGGCGACGAUCCCUAGCUGGUCUGAGAGGAUGACCAGCCAACUUGGAUCUGAGACACGGUCCAGAUUCCUACGGGAGGCAGCAGUGGGGAAUAUUGCACAAUGGGCGCAAGCCUGAUGCAGCCAUGCCGCGUGUAUGAAGAAGGCCUUCGGGUUGUAAAGUACUUUCAGCGAGGAGGCGUUACUCGCAGAAUAAGCACCGGCUAACUCCGUGCCAGCAGCCGCGGUAAUAC